CCCGAUUACGGGUAAACAUUCACGGAGAGUUUGAUCCUGGCUCAGGACGAACGCUGGCGGCGUGCUUAACACAUGCAAGUCGAACGAUGAAGCCCUUCGGGGUGGAUUAGUGGCGAACGGGUGAGUAACACGUGGGCAAUCUGCCCUUCACUCUGGGACAAGCCCUGGAAACGGGGUCUAAUACCGGAUAACACCGGCUUCCGCAUGGGAGCUGGUUGAAAGCUCCGGCGGUGAAGGAUGAGCCCGCGGCCUAUCAGCUUGUUGGUGGGGUAAUGGCCUACCAAGGCGACGACGGGUAGCCGGCCUGAGAGGGCGACCGGCCACACUGGGACUGAGACACGGCCCAGACUCCUACGGGAGGCAGCAGUGGGGAAUAUUGCACAAUGGGCGAAAGCCUGAUGCAGCGACGCCGCGUGAGGGAUGACGGCUUCGGGUUGUAA
rnacentral:rRNA from 1 species